AGCAAUGCUUCACUCUCUACGUGACAACUCUAAGUGAAAAUAACCAAACAAAAAUACUCAGAAGUUGUGAAUACUUCAUUUUAUGGCACUUCCCAAAAAUGAAAGGUGAAAAGCUCCAGCAAAUCAAACCAGAAGCCAAAAAUAACUGAAAUUUGGAAUGAAGGGUUUCGAUGCGGCUUCGUCAAUUAGUUUCAUGUCAGAACUCGGAACUUUACGCGGCCACACGAAGCAGCGCUGCGCCGCGAUAAGCGAUACACUUUGUUGACGGUGCCAGACUUUUCUAAAACUACA